AUGGCCGCUGCCGGAGAAGCUACGGCUUUCCAUCGGAAAAAAAAAAAUGUGAUCCUAGAUUACUAAAAGCCAAAAAUAUAUUUUGUUAGAAUCUUUUGGAUUCCUAAGAGAAGGCAUUAGUUUCGGCUUUGCUUUCAGCUUCAUGAUGUUCUCGACAUCUUGAUAUCUAUAUCUGGAGAUCAUGGUGAUCUUUUGAUCUCAAUAAGGUAUCCCUAGAGGUUUCAAGGAAGUGGCUUGAGUCGCGCUUCAUCUAACUUUAGAUCUAUAGACUCGGGAUUAGGUGGAAUUGAGGAUUUGCCAAAUUCUUAGAACGAAGGAAAGAAUAAUUCGAGAUUGUUAUUGUCUUCUAGGCAAAGGUUAAAUAAAGUCUCUAAUGUUUAGUUGAUGAUUUGAGAGUUUGUAAUAAUGAAAUUCUUUCUUUAGGUUGA